AAUUAAGUUUGAUUAACUGAUUUGUUUUGAAUAUAUGAUUCAAUUUAUAAACUAUUUAAUUGAUUUAAUUUUUAUUACAAUCUAAUUUAUCGAUACGGUUCAAUUGACUAUAAAUUUUGUCCCAUAUACCACAAUUAAAAAAACUAAAGGAGAUCUACCAAGACAAACUUCGACCUCCUCAAGAUGAAAACAUACUACCAACACCCCCACCAUGCAAAGAUAUUAUGCUGCACCAAAAACCUCCAACAUAUACAUAAAAACCAUCACUAAACAUCCAGCUAAUUCAUGACAGUAGCACUCCUAUCAUGAGACCCAAUGACACAUUCAUACAAGCAAAUUUUUGAAGGAGUUAUGUAUCAAACCCGACAACAAUAUUUUGUAAAAGGAUUGAAAAAAUAUGAUAUUUCAUUUUCACAAUUUAAAGCAUAUGCAUUUUCCCGCAAUUGAUUUGGCAAGCUCAAAUUGAAAAAACAUUCAAAACAACCAUAGCAAAACAAAGUCUUAAAU
rnacentral:lncRNA from 1 species